UGAAUGGCCAAUGCUGCCGAAAAUGUUAUGGACUUUUUGUUGAAGAACCCCUUUUAUUUUCUGGGGUACAUGGAAAAGUAAGUUGCAAAUUAAAUGCAGGGGUCGACCUCUGCCUGAGCUCAGCUUCAUGAAGGAUCAAAAGUUGAGGGCGUUCAAUACCAACUGGUAUCAAAAGUAUAUCUGGUUAACAGGGAACUUUAAUCGAAGCCGCAUUUAUCGCUGACCUUACCUGCUUUUUGGAAAGUCUGAGCCUUGGUCGAAAGGUGGGUACAGUGACCUGAAGAACAUUGAUCGUUCAGCUAAAUGGCAAAACAGAAGCAGGGAGCAUAUAAAUGCCCACAUCAGAUUCAAGCUUCUGGGAAAAAGCUGCAUCGAUUAUGACAAAGGUCUGCGUAUUCAAACUGCGCAACACAACGAGAAAGUAAGAAGAAACAGGGAUGUUAUCAAGCUGCUUAUCAACACAACUGCGUUUUUGGGCAUGCAAUAAUGUACUUUUAGAGGAUACGACGAGAGGUAAAGUUCCACCAACAAGGGCAACUACUACAAGGAGCUUGCAGAGCCAAGUCCCCUCCUGUUCCCUGAUUUAAGAGGUGAUGACUCCACUUCACUACCAUUGUCAACUUUCUCCUGACAUUAACUGAAGCCCCUUCUCAUGUGCCCGCUCUUACACUGGCACAUUGAAUACUUCCCCUCCAGGCACUUCAAAUCCUGUCCUGCACUGGUCAAGCCUCAUACCUCAACUCAACUCAUGCCUCAUACCUUCAUUCAAUCACUGCUGUAAUCCCUUUCCAACAUGGUAAAGGAAGAAACGAUGGAAAGACUAUUGUGAAAUGAUCUGAACAAAAAGCAGUCAAGCAGUCAGUCUGACAAACACACACACCAGACGAUAGAUUCGAGGAGAAACCCACCAAAAAUCCCUUCAGAACCUCACAGUCUGUCUUUUGUCAGGCUAUCUAGCGCUGCUAUCACCCUUUGUGAACGCACGCUGAUGCCCCACAGUAGGCCUCUGCUGCAUAUCUGUCUGCCUGUCCAUCAGUCACGGCUGAGUCAAACAUGACAGCCUCUGCCUGUGUGUCUGAGAGCGUUAAAGCACAGUGUAAUCUGACAACACAAAGCAGUAAGAGCUCUAAAAUAACUAUGAAAGCUCUACUCUGUACCCAUUGUUUUAUAAAGCUCUACUCUAUAACCAUUGUUUAAAAAAAGCUCUACUCUAUAGCCAUUGUUUUAAUAAAGCUCUACUCUAUAACCAUUGUUUUAAUAAAGCUCUACUCUGUACCCAUUGUUUUAAUAAAGCUCUACUCUAUAACCAUUGUUUAAAAAAAGCUCUACUCUGUACCCAUUGUUUUAAUAAAGCUCUACUCUAUAACCAUUGUUUUAAUAAAGCUCUACUCUAUAACCAUUGUUUUAAUAAAGCUCUACUCUAUAGCCAUUGUUUUGAAUAAAGCUC